rnacentral:lncRNA from 1 species
ACACUCCUUUGAAAGAAAAUUGAGAAGAGUCACGUAGUAAAAACCAGUACAAGGGUUUCCUGGUUCUUGAAGAAUGCAGACCACCUAAGGCCACAGUCAGGGCUGAGGAAGACCUCCCAGAGCUGACAGACUCGCCGCUGCCUAGGUGGAAUCCUGGGAUUCCUCCGGAGAUGCUGACUCAGCAUGAGGACAGACUCAAGGCCGGACACACUCCAACGCUGAAUUGGGAGAUAUUGGCCCCACUCACUUGGGUUUUUUUUUCCACGUGUGAAUUUUACAGGCGGGGAAAUGAAGUGUUUAGAAGUUAGUGUCAAAAUGUGGGCACUUGAUGCUCUCCUCGAGGACCCAGGUUCAGUUCCUGGCACCCACGUGACAGCUCGCGACCAUCUGUAUUUCCAGUUCUAGGGGAUCUGAUUCCCUCUUGUGGUCUUUGAAGAUUCCAGGCAUGAACAACAGGGUGCACAUGCACACGCGGGCAACACACCCAUGCAUGUAAUAUAUAAUAUAACAUGGAAUGAAUGUAUUUAAAAUGCA